UACGUAGGGGGCAAGCGUUGUCCGGAAUCAUUGGGCGUAAAGAGCGUGUAGGCGGUCCGGUAAGUCAGCUGUGAAAGUCAAGGGCUCAACCCUUGAAUGCCGGUUGAUACUGUCGGGCUAGAGUCCGGAAGAGGCGAGUGGAAUUCCCGGUGUAGCGGUGAAAUGCGCAGAUAUCGGGAGGAACACCAAUGGCGAAGGCAGCUCGCUGGGACGGUACUGACGCUGAGGCGCGAAAGCGUGGGGAGCAAACAGG
rnacentral:rRNA from 1 species